rnacentral:rRNA from 1 species
AUAUCAAUAAGCGGAGGAAAAGAAACCAACAGGGAUUGCCCCAGUAACGGCGAGUGAAGCGGCAGCAGCCCAGAUUUGGAAUCUGGUCCCCCCUCUCCGGGGAGCCCGAGUUGUAAUCUGCAGAGGAUGCUUUUGGCGCGGCGCCUUCCGAGUUCCCUGGAACGGGACGCCACAGAGGGUGAGAGCCCCGUCCGGUCGGACGCCACAGCCUCGGUAAAGCUCCUUCGGCGAGUCGAGUAGUUUGGGAAUGCUGCUCAAAGCGGGAGGUAUAUGUCUUCUAAGGCUAAAUACCGGCCAGAGACCGAUAGCGCACAAGUAGAGUGAUCGAAAGAUGAAAAGCACUUUGAAAAGAGAGUUAAACAGUACGUGAAAUUGUUGAAAGGGAAGCGCUCGUGGCCAGACCCGGGCCCGGCGGAUCAUCCGGCGCUCGUCGCCGGUGCGCUCUGCCGCGGCCCAGGCCAGCAUCGGCCCGCGGCGGGGGGAUAAAGGCGGCGGGAAUGUGGCUCCCCUCUGGGGGGAGUGUUAUAGCCCGCCGUGCAAUGCCCCGCGGGCGGGCCGAGGUACGCGCACCCGCAAGGAUGCUGGCGUAAUGGCCACCAGCGACCCGUCUUGAAACACGGACCAAGGAGUCGUCCUCGUAUGCGAGUGUUCGGGCGCCAAACCCCUACGCGUAAUGAAAGUGAACGCUGGUGAGAACCCCUCGCGGGGCGCAUCACCGACCGAUCCUGAUGUCCUCGGAUGGAUUUGAGUAGGAGCAUACGGGGCCGGACCCGAAAGAAGGUGAACUAUGCCUGUGUAGGGUGAAGCCAGAGGAAACUCUGGUGGAGGCUCGCAGCGGUUCUGACGUGCAAAUCGAUCGUCAAACAUGGGCAUGGGGGCGAAAGACUAAUCGAACCUUCUAG